UCCAAAUCCUUUAUAACAGCGUGACAGAAUAAUCGACCCAACAUAUGGAGACAGCAGGGAAGGCCGAGCUUGCGACCAUUGUAGGGACAGUACAGCACCACGAGGACUGUCUCUCCAGACUUGGGGUCGCCAUGGACAGUGUGCUGGCAACCGUCCUGCUCUUGGCGCCGAUCCGCAGAAUACCCCUGUCCCUCCCGGAGCGCUUUGACGGUGUGCCAGCAAGAUGCAAGGGGUUCCUUCUACAAUACAACCUGUACCUCGCUCUCUACCCCGAGGAUGUUUCCGGAAGAGACAGGGUUGCCACCGUCUUCUCGGCACUGACCGGGCGGACUCUGGACUGUGCCGCGGUCUGGGAGUCCUACGAGCGCUUCACCCUUCUCUUCCGCUCUGUGUUUGAUCAUCCUGUGGAGGGCCGAGUGGGAGGUGAGCGUCUACUCCGACUACGCCAGGGAGCUAGGACCGCCUCGGAGUUCGCCCUGGAGUUCCGGACCAUCGCGGCUUCCACCGGAUGGAAUGAGUUGGCUCUGGUACCGUUUUCCGCAGCGGACUGUGGGAGGAGGUACAGCUGGAGUUAGCCUGCCGUGAUGACAACCUGUCACUCGACCAGCUCAUCAGCAUGGUGAUCCGGUUGGACAACCUCCUGUAGUCCCGAAGUAAACCUGCGAGGAAUCCGGAACCCAUGGCUACACCUGCUCCGUGGUGGGCUCGGCACGUGGUGGGCUCAGCUCGGCAGAGCAUAGGAGAAGGAGGAAUCUGGGCUUCUGCUUCUAUUGUGAGGAAAGGGGUCAUUUCUCCCCGAGCUGCUCUUUAUUCACUAGGAGGCAAGGAGCUGACAAGCCAAGGACUUCUCCUGCGCUAACCCAGACGGGUUGAGUUUGCAUCCAGUUAUUUCCUGGUCCGAUAGGAGACUGCUGGUUUGGUCGCAGGAGUGUCAGGGGAGGUGUCUUGUGGUGUCUGUCAACACCGCUACGGUGGAAAGUCCGGACUGUGUUCCUCAAGUGGAUUUACCGGAGGAGUACCAGGAUCUGCACCACGUUUUUUCUAAGACCCAGGCUACACGCCUGUCUCCCCAUCACCCCUGGGAUGGUGCCAUUGACCUGUUGUCUGAUGCAGCUCUCCCAAGAGGACAUCCCCUCUCCUAUGCGAAGUCCAAGGCCAUGGAGACCUACUGUGUGUAUAUAUAUAUAUAUAU
ensembl:lncRNA